rnacentral:rRNA from 1 species
AACCAAUUUUAUAGUGAAACUGCGAAUGGCUCAUUAAAUCAGUUAUAAUUUACUUGAUAAUUUUAUACCAGUGGAUAACCGUGGUAAUUCUAUGGCUAAUACAUACAUUAAAGGGCCUUACUAUGUAAGGCCUGUAGUUAUUAGAUAAAAAACCAAUGCAUGCAAAUGCUUUUUUGGUGAUUCAUAGUAAACUUACAGAUCGUUGUCUUCGACGACGUGUCAAUCAAAUUUCUGCCCUAUCAACUGUCGAUGGUAAGGUAGUGGCUUACCAUGGUUGCAACGGGUGACGGGGAAUAAGGGUUCUAUUCCGGAGAGGGAGCCUGAGAAACGGCUACCACAUCCAAGGAAGGCAGCAGGCGCGCAAAUUACCCAAUCCUAAUACAGGGAGGUAGUGACAAUAAAUAACAAUCCAGGGCCCUUAUGGGUCAUGGAAUUGGAAUGAAUACAAAUUAAAACUCUUAAUGAGGAACCAUUGGAGGGCAAGUCUGGUGCCAGCAGCCGCGGUAAUUCCAGCUCCAAUAGCGUAUAUUAAAGUUGUUGCAGUUAAAACGCCCGUAGUCGAAUUUUUGGGGGAAUGAGGAUUUGAAAGGGUUUUAGCCUCUGGUUAAUAAUCUUUUCUUUUUCUUGGUCCCUCAUUUUAUAUUCCUGGUCUUUGGGCUUAGUUGGUACUUUACUGUAUUGAUUAAGUCAUUUCCUUCGGGUGGGCCAGGAAUGAUUACUUUGAAAAAAUUAGAGUGUUCAAAGCGGGCUUUUUAAGCCGAAUACAUUAGCAUGGAAUAAUAAAAUAAGACUAUGGUUUUAUUUUGUUGGUUUAUAAAACUAAAGAAAUGAUGAAUAGGUCUGGUUGGGGAUAUUAGUAUUUAAUAGUCAGAGGUGAAAUUCUUGGAUUUAUGAAAGACUAACUUCUGCGAAAGCAUUUAUCAAGGACAGGCUCAUUGAUCAAGGACGAAAGUUGGGGGAUCGAAGAUGAUUAGAUACCGUCGUAGUCUCAACCAUAAACUAUGCCAACUAGGGAUUGGGGCUGUUUUUAACAGUCUCAGCACCUUGUGAGAAAUCAAAGUUUU